UACGUAGGGUGCUAGCGUUAUCCGGAUUUACUGGGCGUAAAGGGUGCGUAGGUGGUCUUUCAAGUCGGUGGUUAAAGGCUACGGCUCAACCGUAUUAAGCCGCCGAAACUGGAAGACUUGAGUGCAGGAGAGGAAAGUGGAAUUCUCAGUGUAGCGGUGAAAUGCGUAGAUAUUGAGAAGAACACCAGUAGCGAAGGCAGCUCACUGGGGUAUAACUGACGCUGAUGCACGAAGGUGUGGGUAUCAAACAGG
rnacentral:rRNA from 1 species